GAGGCCGGCGGCCGACGGGAAUCACUCCCCCGAUCACGGAGGAGGGUGGCCGGCGAUCAAUUCCGAUCGCCGGCGCCGGAAAAAUUCAAGGAAAAGAGCUCAAAAACAGGGUGUCUUUCCCGACCGAAAAUCGGCGACUUUCGUCACCGGCAGCCGCGCACAAAUGCACGGGGAGGAAGGAGAAGAAAGAGGGGAGGAAGAGGAAAACUUACCUUAGCCUCCGGAGACCUCGUCGGCGGCAAUCACGGCGAGAAAUCAAAGAGUAUCCGCGGCCUUCGAUCGAGAAAAACGGAGAGAAAGAGAGAGAGAGGAGGCCAAUGAUCGGUCUCAAGAGGGAGGGGGUCUUCUUAUAGAGCACCCUAGGACUCCGAGGGGUCCUAGGAGUCCUAAUUUGCUCGGGACUCGCCGGAGAAGAAGACUCCUACCGGGAGUCUUCUUCCCGGUUUUACUCUGUUUUUCCUUUUUUUUUUUU
rnacentral:lncRNA from 1 species